GAUGAACGCUGGCGGCGUGCCUAAUACAUGCAAGUCGAGCGAACAGACGAGGAGCUUGCUCCUCUGACGUUAGCGGCGGACGGGUGAGUAACACGUGGAUAACCUACCUAUAAGACUGGGAUAACUUCGGGAAACCGGAGCUAAUACCGGAUAACAUGUUGAACCGCAUGGUUCAACAGUGAAAGACGGUUUUGCUGUCACCUAUAGAUGGAUCCGCGUCGCAUUAGCUAGUUGGUAAGGUAACGGCUUACCAAGGCAACGAUGCGUAGCCGACCUGAGAGGGUGAUCGGCCACACUGGAACUGAGACACGGUCCAGACUCCUACGGGAGGCAGCAGUAGGGAAUCUUCCGCAAUGGGCGAAAGCCUGACGGAGCAACGCCGCGUGAGUGAAGAAGGUCUUCGGAUCGUAAAACUCUGUUAUUAGGGAAGAACAAAUGUGUAAGUAACUAUGCACGUCUUGACGGUACCUAAUCAGAAAGCCACGGCUAACUACGUG
rnacentral:rRNA from 1 species